AGAGUUUGAUCCUGGCUCAGGAUGAACGCUGGCGGCGUGCUUAAUACAUGUAAGUCGAACGAGGGGUUUUUGUAGUAAUACAGGAACAACCUAGUGGCGAACGGGUGAGUAACACGUGGAUGAUCUGCCCUGAAGUGUGGGAUAACGGCUCGAAAGGGCUGCUAAUACCGCAUGUGGUUAUGAGGAUUAGAUGCCUGAUAACAAAAGGAGCAAUUCGCUUCAGGAGGAAUCUGCGUCCCAUCAGCUAGUUGGUGAGGUAACGGCCCACCAAGGCGACGACGGGUAGGGGGCCUGAGAGGGUGGCCCCCCACAAUGGAACUGAAACACGGUCCAUACACCUACGGGUGGCAGCAGUAGGGAAUAUUGCACAAUGGGCGAAAGCCUGAUGCAGCAACGCCGCGUGCGCGAUGAAGGCCUUCGGGUCGUAAAGCGCUUUUCGGGGAGAUGAGGAAGGACAGUAUCCCCGGAAUAAGUCUCGGCUAACUACGUGCCAGCAGCCGCGGUAAAACGUAGGAGGCAAGCGUUAUCCGAAUUUACUGGGCGUAAAGCGUGUGCAGGCGGUUCGGUAAGUUGGAUGUGAAAUCUCCUGGCUCAACUGGGAGAGGUCGUUCAAUACUGUCAGACUCGAGGGUGGUAGAGGGAGGUGGAAUUCCGGGUGUAGUGGUGAAAUGCGUAGAUAUCCGGAGGAACACCUGUGCGAAAGCGGCCUCCUGGACCAUACCUGACGCUCAUACACGAAAGCUAGGGGAGCGUACGGGAUUAGAAACCCCGGUAGUCCUAGCCGUAAACGAUGUGAACUAGGUGUCGGUGGGGUAAAAGCCAUCGGUGCCGAAGCCAACGCGAUAAGUUCACCGCCUGGGGACUACGGCCGCAAGGUUAAAACUCAAAUGAAUUGACGG
rnacentral:rRNA from 1 species